rnacentral:rRNA from 1 species
UACGUAGGCAGCAAGCGUUGUUCGGAAUUACUGGGCGUAAAGAGUGUGUAGGCGGUGCUCUAAGUCUGUUGUGAAAUCUCCCGGCUUAACUGGGAGGGUGCGGCGGAGACUGGAGUGCUAGAGUGUGGGAUAGGUAAGCGGAAUUCCUGGUGUAGCGGUGAAAUGCGUAGAUAUCAGGAGGAACACCUGUGGUGUAGACAGCUUACUGGACCACGACUGACGCUGAGACACGAAAGCGUGGGUAGCAAACAGG